rnacentral:rRNA from 1 species
GACGUAGGUGGCGAGCGUUAUCCGGAAUUAUUGGGCGUAAAGGAUGCGUAGAUGGUGUAGUAAGUUAUCGGUGGCAAAUCGAGGCUCAACCUCGUGGAAGUCGGUAAUACUGCUAUGCUAGAGGAUAGGAGAGGUUAACGGAACUCCCUGUGGAGCGGUGAAAUGCGUAGAUAUAGGGAAGAACACCAAUCAGGCGAAGGCAGUUAACUAUUCUAUUCCUGACAUUGAGGCAUGAAAGCGUGGGGAGCAAAACGG